rnacentral:lncRNA from 1 species
CCCAACUCAAUACCAAAGCCCCUUCCUCCUUCCUUCUCAUUUCUAUGACCUCUUAAGCUCCCUCUGUCCCUCUAGUUUCCAUCAUUUUGAGGCUCUGCUCCUUUUUUUCUCCCUGUUUUGUUUUCUCUGCAAUUAUAAUAUCAAGGUUACUUUGGGUCCAAGAUCACUUGCUCCUUGAUAUCUAAAUUUGUCCAAAUAUUGUUUCUUUUUAACCAUCAAACACCCAUCCAAGGAUUCUCUUGAAUUUUAAUGGGACUGAAAUAAAGAUGAUAUCAAGUUUUAGUUUUUUAUAUUAAUUGUUUUUUUCUAAAAAAAACAAUCAAUCAAUCAAUCUUGAUGCUUAAAUUAUUGUUCUUGAUGUUUGAAAUUGAUGUCUCAAAUUCUUAGUGAACUACUUUUUUCUGGGUUUAUGAUAAAUUCUACAUAUAGGCGCAGGACCCAUUUAGUUCAAUCCUUCUCAGUUGUCUUCCUCUACUGGUUGUAUUUUGUUUCAUAGCUUUCUCCUGAUCCUUUUAUAUAAUUAUAUCUAUACCUAUUUACUUGUUUAAUUUACUAUCUAUCUAUCUGGGUCCUGACAUUUUAUUUUCAAUAUAUAUAGUUACGUUCGUCUCUUUUAU